rnacentral:rRNA from 1 species
GAUGAACGCUAGCUACAGGCUUAACACAUGCAAGUCGAGGGGAAACGAUAUUGGAAGCUUGCUUCCGAUAGGCGUCGACCGGCGCACGGGUGAGUAACGCGUAUCCAACCUGCCCACCACUUGGGGAUAACCUUGCGAAGGUAAGACUAAUACCCAAUGAUAUCUCAAGAAGACAUCUGAAUGAGAUUAAAGAUUUAUCGGUGAUGGAUGGGGAUGCGUCUGAUUAGCUUGUUGGCGGGGUAACGGCCCACCAAGGCGACGAUCAGUAGGGGUUCUGAGAGGAAGGUCCCCCACAUUGGAACUGAGACACGGUCCAAACUCCUACGGGAGGCAGCAGUGAGGAAUAUUGGUCGAUGGGCGAGAGCCUGAACCAGCCAAGUAGCGUGCAGGAUGACGGCCCUAUGGGUUGUAAACUGCUUUUAUAAGGGAAUAAAGUGAGCCUCGUGAGGCUUUUUGCAUGUACCUUAUGAAUAAGGACCGGCUAAUUCCGUGCCAGCAGCCGCCGUAA